CAGUGUAUAUUACAGUGUGUGUGUGUUACAGUGUGUGUGUGUGACAGUGUGUGUGUGUUACAGUGUGUGUGUGUGUGUGUCAGUGUAUAUUACAGUGUGUGUGUGUGUUUGAACAGGCGGAGGUCCUCCAUGUUGUCCGUCGCUACACAAACACUCAGCUGUUCAAACAGAAACUGACUUCAGCGCUUCCUGCUGAAACGGUUGAAGGUGUUUCCACCUGACUGCUGCAGAGUUCACGUCGCCCUGAUGGACGGAACAACAGCCCAGUUUCUCGUCUGAUUUGAAGAACGGACGUUGAUUCUUGCGAGUGGAGUCAUGUGAUCACACGAAGAAGAAAUGUAGCGUUUUGGUUCGAGCGCGCGACGACGCUGACGAUCAGUGAAUCUGUUGUGUGUCUGAUUGAUUAAACUGAUGAGACCUGAAGGAAGCAACACAUCGGAGAAAAUAUAGUUUUUUUACCUGAGUAGUGCCUGCAGGCCUCCUCUCAGGCUCCCUGUCCCACAACGGAGCCAGUUCAAAGUCCGAACUCCCCAAACACAUCCAGAUCCGUCCACGCUCGCUGAUCUCAACCCGCCGUCAGAGCCGCUUUUAAUGUGCUUUUAAUGUGCGACUAAUGGUUUCAGUGUGUUGCUUCUGAUCAUUUGAACUUCUGUAAAGUGUCUUUGAGUUCCUGAAUUAUUAUUAUUAUUAUUAUUAUUAUUAUUAGCUCUGUCAAACCACCUUCCAACAACUCCAAGUCUGUCUGAAAGGAGCACUCCACCUGAACCAGGACCAGGAAACUGAACAUGGUCUUCUUUGGCCUGAUGAUGUCACAGUGAUGUCACUUUAUGGAAGAGUCGCAGCGGUGUGUUUCCUGUCCAUCACCGUGUUGAAAUGUCAGCUGACUGUGUGGACGUGUGAAGCGGACUGAUCCUGCAGAGAAACACAAACACUGAGAGUCUCAGUCCUCUUUAAAGACCUCCUCCCUGGUGUUUGUCCUCAGACCCUGCAGGAGUUUUAAUAUCAGCCUGUCAGUCUGAACUCAGGGACAUUUGCCUUCCUUUUGUGGAGAGAAAACUCUCAGGAGGAGUCGACCUUUUCUCCGGUCUGUCGCUGUUUGCAGAGUCAUGGAAACGCCUCAGAGACCAGGACCCAGACAGACCUCCAGUCUGGAUCUGACAGACUGUCAACAUGACUAAAGACCAGCAGAGUCCGGACACAGCGCCCCCUACAGCCGGUAACCGGCACUCCGACACAUCAAGUGACUGAACAACAGUGACAGUAAAGAAGAAACGUUUACAGACGGCAGAAACAAACACAAGAGAACAAAACUCGAACGUCACUUCGGAGAAAAGAAGGAAUCUGAUCCGACGGCAGCUAAACGAGAGAAGAAGUGUGAAGCAGAUUUCCCUUCAUAUUAAAACCUGCGAAAAGAGUCUCUCUCUCGUUGGGAAUUGAAAUCAUGGCAGCACAAACUGUAAACUCUGUUCUGAUUGAAUCGUUCCAAUCUCUCCGGCCCAUCAGACCCUGAAAUGACAGUUACAUGUCAUCUGUGGCUGUGAUCGGGUGGAAACUGUAAACUCAGGUGAACCACGGACUCAUUUCUCCUCCUUGUUUUAGUUUUACUGAUAGACAACGAAGGUCUGCAGGUGAGCCGCAAGAUGAUCAAAAAGUUGGGAAGAAACGUUUCUGCUGCACAAAUGUGCGUUGAUUAUUUGAAACUUUUAUCAAAUAUUUGCUGUUUGCUUUCAGACUCGUCUUUGAGUUUCUAACUCUGCAUUGUGAGGAGGAAACGUCACUCUGGUUGAACUUCUCACAGCUCAGAGGCAGCGUGACCCGUGG